rnacentral:rRNA from 1 species
AAAUUGAAGAGUUUGAUCAUGGCUCAGAUUGAACGCUGGCGGCAGGCCUAACACAUGCAAGUCGAACGGUAACAGGAAACAGCUUGCUGUUUCGCUGACGAGUGGCGGACGGGUGAGUAAUGUCUGGGAAACUGCCUGAUGGAGGGGGAUAACUACUGGAAACGGUAGCUAAUACCGCAUAAUGUCGCAAGACUAAAGAGGGGGACCUUCGGGCCUCUUGCCAUCGGAUGUGCCCAGAUGGGAUUAGCUAGUAGGUGGGGUAACGGCUCACCUAGGCGACGAUCCCUAGCUGGUCUGAGAGGAUGACCAGCCACACUGGAACUGAGACACGGUCCAGA